CAAGGCACCUCUGGAAAGACUUGCGCCCAGUCGUACGAGGCGUAGGCGCCGAAGGAGAAAGGUUGCUGUACGUCAGUGACCGAAGCUCUCAGGCACCCAAGACAGAGCGGGGAGG
rnacentral:ncRNA from 2 species